rnacentral:ncRNA from 1 species
AACGUGUUGAGGUUCCUUGACCAGAAAUGGUGAGGAUCAAAAGGGAACCAGGUGUGACUCCUGGACAGUACCCGCUGCUGUAACUCCCUAAAAUACAUCGCGCGGCAUACAUGCCACUGGUUGCACACUCAUGGUCUGCAUCAUCACCGGGAAGGCGCCGCAGCGAUGGGGGAGAAGUCAGAAGACCUGCCUCCA